UACGUAGGGUGCAAGUGUUGUCCGGAAUUAUUGGGCGUAAAGAGCUCGUAGGCGGUGUGUCACGUCGAUCGUGAAAACUUACAGCUUAACUGUGAGCGUGCGGUCGAUACGGGCAUCACUGGAGUUCGGCAGGGGAGACUGGAAUUCCUGGUGUAGCGGUGAAAUGCGCAGAUAUCAGGAGGAACACCGGUGGCGAAGGCGGGUCUCUGGGCCGAUACUGACGCUGAGGCACGAAAGCGUGGGGAGCAAACAGG
rnacentral:rRNA from 1 species